rnacentral:misc_RNA from 1 species
GUCAAAUAUGGUUUGACAGAGCUUUCAAGAAAAGAAAUUCGAACUGCACGGGUUGUUGCAAAUCCUGGGUGUUAUCCAACAUGUGUGCAACUUCCUCUUGUGCCAUUAAUAAAGGUAUGAGCUGUCCACUAUAUGUUACAAUUGAGAUGGUACGCUAAAAUUAUGACCCACAAAAAGAGUUGGUUCUGGUGAGAGUGGCGGCUCAUGAGUCAUGAUAAA